rnacentral:rRNA from 1 species
UACGGAGGGGGCUAGCGUUGUUCGGAAUUACUGGGCGUAAAGCGUACGUAGGCGGCUUUCUAAGUCAGGGGUGAAAUCCUGGAGCUCAACUCCAGAACUGCCUUUGAUACUGGGAAGCUCGAGUCCGGAAGAGGUGAGUGGAACUGCGAGUGUAGAGGUGAAAUUCGUAGAUAUUCGGAGGAACACCAGUGGCGAAGGCGGCUCACUGGCUCGAUACUGACGCUGAGGUGCGAAAGCGUGGGGAGCAAACAGG